AUCCCCUUCAUAGUUCAUGAUGAUUGGGUAUUCAUGCUUUUGCCUGAUAUGCUCUGCUCAUUAAACCUUGUUAUGAUAUGGGCACAUUAAACAGUCUGACA